rnacentral:rRNA from 1 species
GACGAACGCUGGCGGCGUGCUUAACACAUGCAAGUCGAACGGAAAGGCCCUGCUUGCAGGGUCCUCGAGUGGCGAACGGGUGAGUAACACGUGGGUGAUCUGCCCUGCACUUCGGGAUAAGCCUGGGAAACUGGGUCUAAUACCGGAUAGGAGCCAUUUUUAGUGUGAUGGUUGGAAAGUUUUUUCGGUGUAGGAUGAGCUCGCGGCCUAUCAGCUUGUUGGUGGGGUAAUGGCCUACCAAGGCGGCGACGGGUAGCCGGCCUGAGAGGGUGGACGGCCACAUUGGGACUGAGAUACGGCCCAGACGCCUACGGGAGGCAGCAGUGGGGAAUAUUGCACAAUGGGCGCAAGCCUGAUGCAGCGACGCCGCGUGGGGGAUGACGGCCUUCGGGUUGUAAACUCCUUUCGCUAGGGACGAAGCUUUUUGUGACGGUACCUAGAUAAGAAGCACCGGCUAACUACGUG